GCUGGGCGCAGGGGUGUGCACCUGUAAUCCCAGCAGUUUGGGAGGCCAAGGCAGGAGGAUCACCAGCUCAAAGCCAGCCUCAGCAAUUUAUCGAGGCACUUAGCAACUCAGUGAGACCCUGUCUCUA
rnacentral:sRNA from 1 species